UACCCGGUAGUGUAACGGUAGCACAAGGGAUUUUGGUUCCCUUCGUCGGGGUUCGAAUCCCUGCCGGGUAA
rnacentral:tRNA from 1 species